rnacentral:tRNA from 1 species
CGGCGCGUGGCUCAGCUUGGUAGAGCGCUGCGUCGGGCGCAGAGGGUCCAUGAGGUCCGGUGGACCUCAGUUUUGGACGGACCGGAGCGAAGCGGAGAACGUGGGUUCAAAUCCCGUCGCGCCGG